UUGCGGAGAAAACUGACAACGAGGGUAGAGGGAGGAUUUAAAAAGCAGCCGACCUACCUUCACACCCUGUGUGUAUCUACCAUGUGGCUUUGCGGGGCCGACCCGCUUUUGACCCGGGCGGCGGCCGCCACAGCCUAGUCUCUAGGCCAGGACGCCUGCGUUAGUGCCCGCCAGUAUACAAAACUCCAGCGAUUAUUCUGGUGUAGUCCUGAGAAUUCAUUUAAUGAAAUAAAACUUUCAACAACGGAUCUCUUGGUUCUGGCAUCGAUGAAGAACGCAGCGAAAUGCGAUAAGUAAUGUGAAUUGCAGAAUUCAGUGAAUCAUCGAAUCUUUGAACGCACAUGGCGCCCCCUGCAAUUCCGGGGGGCAUGCUUGUCCGAGCGUCAUUUCACCCCUCAAGCUCUGCUGGGUAUGGGGCGACGUCGGCUGCCGGACGCCCUUGGAAAACUCGGGAACGGCGUCUCAGCCUCGAGCGUGGUAGUAAAAUAUCUCGCUUUGAAGAAGGGGGGGCCUGCCGCGNGAAAAUUCGACGUUGGGCAAUAUUUUUCCCAGGUUGACCUCCGAUCAGGUAGGGAUACCCGCUUGACUU
rnacentral:rRNA from 1 species